rnacentral:rRNA from 1 species
GAUGAACGCUGGCGGCGUGCUUAACACAUGCAAGUCGAACGAAGCAUUUGCGACAGAGUUUUUCGGACUGAAGUUGCUCAUGACUGAGUGGCGGACGGGUGAGUAACGCGUGGGUAACCUGACUUGUACUGGGGGGUAGCAGCUGGAAACGGCUGGUACUACCGCAUAAGCGCACAAUGUUGCAUGACAUGGUGUGAAAAAGUCUGGGGGUAUAAAAUGGACCCGCGUCUGAUUUGCUAGUUGGUGGGAUUACAGCGCACCAAGGCGACGAUCAGUAGCCGACCUGGGAGGGUGACCGGCCACAUUGGGGCUGCGACACGGCCCCGACUCCUACGGGAGGCAGCAGUAGGGAAUAUUGCACAAUGGAGGAAACUCUGAUGCAGCGACGCCGCGUGAGUGAAGAAUUAAUUCGUUAUGUAAAGCUCUAUCAGCAGAGAAGAUAGUGACGGUACCUGACUAAGAAGCACCGGCUAAAUACGUG